rnacentral:rRNA from 1 species
GCUAAGGCCCCAAAAUGACCGCUGAGUGGAAAAGGAUGUGACAAUGCUGAAACAGCCAGGAGGUUUGCUUAGAAGCAGCCACCCUUUAAAGAGUGCGUAAUAGCUCACUGGUAGAGCGUUGUUGCGCCGAAAAUGGACGGGACUAAGCGGUCUGCCGAAGCUGUGGGACAUCGAAUCGAUCGAUGUCGGUAGGGGAGCGUUCCGCCCUGGGUGAAGCGUCGACGGAAGUCGACGUGGACGAGGCGGAAGUGAGAAUGUCGGCUUGAGUAACGCAAACAUUGGUGAGAAUCCAAUGCCCCGGCAACCUAAGGGUUCCUUCCGUAGGCUCGUCCAGGGAGGGUGAGUCAGGACCUAAGAUCAGGCCGAAGGGCGUCGUCGAUGGAAAACGGGUUAAUAUUCCUGUACUUGCCUUCGAUCGGUACCGAGGGACGAAGAAGGCGGUGGGUGGCCGACACUGGAUGUAGGCGAAAGCGUUCGAGGCGUUGAAGGGUGGAAUAAAAACCAUCCCGAGCUGAGGCGUGAUACGGUCUCAUGCUGCCUCUCACCAUAGGGUGGGGGGUAGCGUGGUGCUCACGUUCCAUCGUCAAGCUUCCUAGAAAAGCUCGUACUACCAUGUCAUCGAAGGCAACCUGUACCCGAAACCGACACAGGUAGGUGGGUAGAGUAUACCAAGGGGCGCGAGAUAACUCUCUCCAAGGAACUCGGCAAAAUGGGCCCGUAACUUCGGGAAGAAGG